GCCCAAGUGGCGGAACUGGCAGACGCGCUAGAUUCAGGUUCUAGUGGGCUAAUCCCCCGUGGAAGUUCGAGUCUUCUCUUGGGCA
rnacentral:tRNA from 1 species